GCUAUCCAUUUCAUCUAAACCGGGUCGAAAAAAGAAACCAUCUCCUUUCUCCGUUGUAAAAAACAAAUGCUAAAAAAAUAAGUUUCACUGUGAAGCUCUGAAAACUCUCUCCCGCUCGCAUAAGCUAAAACCUCUUCUCUCCUCUCUUGUUCGCGUUCGCAUGCUUCUUCGAUCUCCGCUCUAGAGGAAAAUCAUGCCGGACGUGCAAGCUCUUGUCAAUGAUUUUCUUAUCAAGCUUAAAAAACGUAAGAUUGAGGGUUCGCAGGCGACGGCGAGGCAGGCUGCUGAACUGUUACGAUCAGUUAUCUCACAACAGCGAGUGCCUUACACGAAUCAGGCUGGAGCUUUAAUUGAUGCUGUGAGGGCUGUUGGGGAGCAGCUGAUUGUUGCCAAUCCUGUCGAGGUAGCUGUGGGUAAUAUUGUGAGGCGUGUUUUGCAUAUUAUUAGGGAGGAGGAUCUUUCUCUGACAACUGCUGCUAUUGCGGGUUUGAAUUUAUCAGCAGCAAGUGAUGGGGAUGAUGAUGAUGAUGAUGAUGAUGAUUGUGAGCGAGAUGAGCAUACAGUUCUAUCAGCUGCUGCUGCUGCUGCUGCUGCGAGAAAUGCUUUGCGUCCACCUUCCUUGCAGACCCUACUGGAGGAUAUGCCUGAGUCAGUGGCUAUUCCUCAUACUUAUUCAUCGGGAGGUGAUUCUGAAGGAAAAAGCAAAUCUGCUGAUAAAAGUUCAAGAACUCGAAGGUUGAAGCAUGAUGUCAUUGAAGCAGUUAACGAGCUUAUUCAAGAUAUUAACACUUGUCAUGAACAGAUUGCUGAACAGGCUGUGGAACAUAUUCAUCAAAAUGAGGUGAUAUUAACAUUAGGUAGUUCAAAGACAGUGUUAGAAUUUCUUUAUGCUGCAAAGGAGAAGAAAAGAUCAUUCCGGGUAUUUGUUGCUGAGGGUGCUCCAAGGUAUCAAGGGCAUCUUCUUGCAAAAGAACUGGUCACAAGAGGCUUAAAUACCACUUUGAUUACUGACUCAGCAGUUUUUGCCAUGAUUUCCCGUGUGAACAUGGUUAUAGUUGGAGCUCAUGCUGUAAUGGCCAAUGGUGGUGUGAUAGCACCUGUUGGGCUGAAUAUGGUUGCACUUGCAGCUCAAAAGCAUGCUGUACCUUUUGUCGUGCUUGCAGGCAGUCACAAGCUGUGUCCCUUGUACCCUCACAAUCCUGAGGUCUUACUAAAUGAAUUGAGAUCUCCAUCCGAGCUACUGGAUUUUGGAGAAUUCUCAGAUUGCUUAGAUUUUGGGAGCGGCACUGGCUCUCCUCUUCUUCAUGUUGUCAAUCCAGCAUUUGAUUAUGUGCCACCAAAGCUUGUUAGUCUGUUUAUCACUGACACUGGAGGGCAUUAUCCAUCAUACAUGUACCGACUCAUUGCAGAUUAUUACUCCGCUGAUGAUUUGGUGGUGUGAAGAAGGGUUGCUUUGGGAAAUUGAGCUCAAAUCACUUUUGUUUACAAUAUUUUUCUGUAGUUUAGGAGUUACCAUGGUAAGAAGUGAUGGAUGAGGAUAGAGUAAUUUUGUCUCAGUGUAUGGAAGCAUUUAACCAUUGUUUAUGCUGGAAGAGAAGCAAACUUAUUGAUAGGGGGCAAUGCGAGGGGUAGACUAGCCAGGAAAUGACCAUUUUUCUUUACUAUUAUUGAAGCAAAGGGCUAAGAGCUAAGAGCUAAGAGCUACACUGAGAAGGAACGAAUGCCAUGAUGGUUGUAGCAAGUUAUAAACCAUGUAUGCUGUGACAAAACUGUGAAAAGGAAAGGAAAAGGGAGCAACAGGUUAUAUCGAGUUUAAUCGAAAACUUGAGAACAAUUUGCACAUGGAGAAUGCUAUGGUUAGUGGGCUGUGUCGUGUGAGCACAUUUGAAGGUACUAUAGUUUAUUAGUUUUUGUUAGGAGUUUUCGGUUUCCAAUACC